rnacentral:tRNA from 1 species
GGGCUCGUAGCUCAGCUUGGUAGAGCGGCUGGCUCUUAACACCCCGUUUUUCUCAACCGCGUAGUCGGCGAACGAGGGGGGAAGUACAGCAUGCCAGGGGUUCGAAUCCCCUCGAGCCCG